UACGGGGGGGGCAAGCGUUGUUCGGAAUUACUGGGCGUAAAGGGCUCGUAGGUGGCCAACUAAGUCAGGCGUGAAAUCCCCAGGCUCAACUUGGGAACUGCGUCUGAUACUGGAUGGCUUGAAUUCGGGAGAGGGAUGCAGAAUUCCAGGUGUAGCGGUGAAAUGCGUAGAUAUCUGGAGGAAUACCGGUGGCGAAGGCGGCAUCCUGGACCGAGAUUGACACUGAUGAGCGAAAGCUAGGGGAGCAAACGGG
rnacentral:rRNA from 1 species